rnacentral:lncRNA from 10 species
AGGAGUGAGUCUGUGCUGCUGCACAUGCCCCAGCCUCUGAAUCUAGAGCUUAGUGCAGGGCUCAUCACUGGACUGAGGGACAGGCUCAACCAAUUCUUUGCAGUGGAUAUUAAUCUGAAUCAUGAUGAGCCAACAGUCGUAUCUUUCGAUGUGGAGAUUUGAGAAACAUUUGUAUUGGAUCUGACCGUCAAAAUCCGCCACAUAUCACUGCAACACCUACAAGUUUUCUUGCAUGGGGUGCUCAGACUUUCACCUCCAGCAAAUAUUACUGGGAGGUCCAUGUGGGGGACUCUUGGAAUUGGGCUUUUGGUGUCUGUAAUAAGUAUUGGAAAGGGAAGAAUCAGAAUGACAAUAUAUAUGGAGAGGAGGGACUCUUUAGUCUUGGAUGCGUCAGGAAUGACAUGGAGUGCAGUCUCUUUACCACCUCCCCACUUACACUGCAAUAUGUCCCAAGACCUUCCAGCCGCAUAGGAUUAUUCCUGGAUUGUGAAGCUAGAACUGUGAGCUUCGUUGAUGUUAAUCAAAGCUGCCCUAUAUACACCAUCCCUAAUUGCGCCUUCUCACAUUCCUCUCAGGCCUGUCUUUCGGUGUGUUCACCUCUGACCAGAGAUCAAUCAGAAAUGUGUUCAUCUGCUGUGAGAACCCCUUUAUUCCAGGAAGCCCUCUUCCUUAUGCCUUAUCAAACAGGACAAAUAGGUUCUGUUUUAUGUCUUGAAUUGCCUCCUAAUGUUAUUAAAACUCAUGUAUUGUGUUAC